CGGGAUGUAGCGCAGCCUGGUAGCGCACCUGCUUCGGGAGCAGGGGGCCGCUGGUUCGAAUCCAGUCAUCCCGA
rfam:Geobacter sp. FRC-32, complete genome.